UGUCGCUGACCUUUCAAGGUUGUGCACGCCCAAGCACACUCUCACACAUCCAUCUCACCCCUUUUGUGCAUCACCGCGUAGGCCCUCCCUUUGCAAGGAGGGCUUGCGUUUUCACAUAAAAACUUUUGAUACAGUAUAGAAUGUUCCUUUUUAUUUUGCGGUCACACGCAAUCAAUACAACUUUCAACAACGGAUCUCUUGGCUCUCGCAUCGAUGAAGAACGCAGCGAAAUGCGAUACGUAAUGUGAAUUGCAGAAUUCAGUGAAUCAUCGAAUCUUUGAACGCACCUUGCGCCCCUUGGCAUUCCGAGGGGCACACCCGUUUGAGUGUCGUGAAAUCAUCAAAAACCCUUUUUCUUUGAAAAGGAUUUUUGGACUUGGAGGUUCCAUGCUUGCCUUUGAAGGUGAGCUCCUCUCAAAUAAAUUAGUGGGGUCCGCUUUGCUGAUCCUUAAUGUGAUAAGAUGUUUCUACAUUUUGGAUUUAGCACUGUCCCUUGGAUGCCUGCUCCUAACUGUCUUUUGGACAAUGAUGGUGCUCCGGUCAUCGCCAUCUACAUUGGCGAGAGGCUGGACCCACAAAAAAAACCUUGACCUCAAAUCGGGUGAGACUACCCGCUGAACUUAAGCAUAUCAAA
rnacentral:rRNA from 1 species